AACGAGUUAUCUGAACCUUCGGGGAACGAUAACGGCGUCGAGCGGCGGACGGGUGAGUAAUGCCUAGGAAAUUGCCCUGAUGUGGGGGAUAACCAUUGGAAACGAUGGCUAAUACCGCAUAAUACCUACGGGUCAAAGAGGGGGACCUUCGGGCCUCUCGCGUCAGGAUAUGCCUAGGUGGGAUUAGCUAGUUGGUGAGGUAAUGGCUCACCAAGGCGACGAUCCCUAGCUGGUCUGAGAGGAUGAUCAGCCACACUGGAACUGAGACACGGUCCAGACUCCUACGGGAGGCAGCAGUGGGGAAUAUUGCACAAUGGGCGCAAGCCUGAUGCAGCCAUGCCGCGUGUGUGAAGAAGGCCUUCGGGUUGUAAAGCACUUUCAGUCGUGAGGAAGGUAGUGUAGUUAAUAGCUGCAUUAUUUGACGUUAGCGACAGAAGAAGCACCGGCUAACUCCGUGCCAGCAGCCGCGGUAAUACGGAGGGUGCGAGCGUUAAUCGGAAUUACUGGGCGUAAAGCGCAUGCAGGUGGUUUGUUAAGUCAGAUGUGAAAGCCCGGGGCUCAACCUCGGAAUAGCAUUUGAAACUGGCAGACUAGAGUACUGUAGAGGGGGGUAGAAUUUCAGGUGUAGCGGUGAAAUGCGUAGAGAUCUGAAGGAAUACCGGUGGCGAAGGCGGCCCCCUGGACAGAUACUGACACUCAGAUGCGAAAGCGUGGGGAGCAAACAGGAUUAGAUACCCUGGUAGUCCACGCCGUAAACGAUGUCUACUUGGAGGUUGUGGCCUUGAGCCGUGGCUUUCGGAGCUAACGCGUUAAGUAGACCGCCUGGGGAGUACGGUCGCAAGAUUAAAACUCAAAUGAAUUGACGGGGGCCCGCACAAGCGGUGGAGCAUGUGGUUUAAUUCGAUGCAACGCGAAGAACCUUACCUACUCUUGACAUCCAGAGAACUUUCCAGAGAUGGAUUGGUGCCUUCGGGAACUCUGAGACAGGUGCUGCAUGGCUGUCGUCAGCUCGUGUUGUGAAAUGUUGGGUUAAGUCCCGCAACGAGCGCAACCCUUAUCCUUGUUUGCCA
rnacentral:rRNA from 1 species